rnacentral:rRNA from 1 species
UACGUAGGGGGCUAGCGUUGUUCGGAAUUACUGGGCGUAAAGCGCACGUAGGCGGCUUUGCAAGUCAGAGGUGAAAGCCCGGGGCUCAACCCGAUCGAUGCCUUUGAAACGGGAACGCUAGAGUCCGAGAGAGGAUGGCGGAAUUCCUAGUGUAGAGGUGAAAUUCGUAGAUAUUAGGAAGAACACCAGUGGCGAAGGCGGCCAUCUGGCUCGGUACUGACGCUCAGGUGCGAAAGCGUGGGGAGCAAACAGG